rnacentral:rRNA from 1 species
UGAAUACGAGACGCUACGGCGUCGAAGCAGUCGAUGUCAUACUUCCAAGAAAAGCUUGCAAUGUCAUAAACAAAUAAUGCCUGUACCAUAACCGACACAGGUGGGUAGGUAGAGUAUACUAAGGGGCGCGAGAUAACUCUCUCUAAGGAACUCGGCAAAAUGACUCCGUAACUUCGGGAGAAGGAGUGCCUUAUUUAUAAGGUUGCAAUAACAAGAUCCAAGCAACUGUUUAUCAAAAACACAGGUCUCCGCUAAGUCGUAAGACGAUGUAUGGGGGCUGACGCCUGCCCAGUGCCAGAAGGUUAAAGAAGUUGGUUAGCAUCCGCGAAGCUGAUAACUGAAGCCCUGGUGAACGGCGGCCGUAACAAUAACGGUCCUAAGGUAGCGAAAUUCCUUGUCGGGUAAGUUCCGACCCGCACGAAAGGCGUAAUGAUUUGGAUACUGUCUCGGAGAGGGACUCGGUGAAAUAGACUUGUCUGUGAAGAUGCGGACUACCUGCACCUGGACAGAAAGACCCUAUGAAGCUUUACUGUAACUUGAAAUUGAAAUUGGACUUUAUUUGCGCAGUAUAGGUGGGAGGCGUUGAGAAUAUUCUUGCGGGAAUAUUGGAGCCAUCAGUGAGAUACCACUCUUGUAAUGUUAGAUUUCUAACUUUGCAUCAUUAUCUGGUCAAAGAACAGUUUCAGGCGGGCAGUUUGACUGGGGCGGUCGCCUCCCAAACGGUAACGGAGGCGUACAAAGGUUUCCUCUGAACGGGUAGAAAUCGUAUCUAGAGUGUAAAGGCAUAAGGAAGCUUGACUGUGAGACCCACAAGUCGAGCAGGGACGAAAGUCGGUCUUAGUGAUCUGACGGUGCUGAGUGGAAAGGCCGUCACUCAACGGAUAAAAGUUACUCUAAGGAUAACAGGCUGAUCUCCCCCAAGAGUUCACAUCGACGGGGAGGUUUGGCACCUCGAUGUCGGCUCAUCGCAUCCUGGGGCGGUAGUACGUCCCAAGGGUUGGGCUGUUCGUCCAUGAAAGCGGUACGCGAGCUGGGUUCAGAACGUCGUGAGACAGUUCGGUCCAUAUCCGGUGUAGGCGUUAGAAUAUUGAGAGGAGCCUUCUUUAGUACGAGAGGACCGAGAAGGACAUACCUCUGGUGUACCAGUUAUCGUGCCAACGGUAAACGCUGGGUAGCUAUGUAUGGAGAGGAUAACCGCUGAAAGCAUCUAAGUGGGAAGCCCACCUCAAGAUAAG